UGCUUUUAAGGAGGCCAUCUGGUCAAGCAAAGACCUACCCUGACAGAUGACACAAUUUGCAAAGGGAAAAUCUGGAGGAGCUAAGAAACUAUACAGGAAAAUAAAUCUUUCAGGAGCCUUAAAUGAUCUUGGAUUGCAUCAGUGCUGGGCCAGGAAGAGAACUGCGACUGUGAGGUCCCGACGUGACUAUCAAC
rnacentral:lncRNA from 1 species